ACAAAAUAAAGUUCUAUAUGCAUGAGCUCCAAUGUAUACUUGAUGAAUGGAAGGAAGCAAGAGGAAAAUCUCGUACUUCGUCAAAAGGGGAAGUCCAACCAUGCAAUAACAUGGAGGAGAGCCUACCAAUCAAUAAGAAAUCCAUGCUCCCAUUAAGGAUUUCGGAGAUUACUCACAAGAGCAUACCCGGGCUAAGGAUAGACAAACUUCAAGGACAAAUCUUUUCGAAUAAUGAGGGUAUGGUGUGAGCACGAUAAGCCAAAAGCAAUCCUGAAAGUCCAAACAGAAUCCCAAGAGAAGAUGUCCACGCACACAAGGACAACACGGACGGGCGCCAACGCGUGCACGAAGACAGCACGCGCCCGCCUAGUGUGCACGCAUGAAGAGGUAGGGCGUUCUCGUGCCUACAAGAAAUCCCAAUCGCAUUAGAAUAAAUAUUUCUUUUCCCGCAUAAAUUCCUACAAAUGCAACUUCAACAAGUACUAGAAUUUUAGCCCAAGACCCAUUCCUCCACCGACCCAACACCAAAAUCAAGAUUUAAGAUUCAAAAAUCAAUAUUGAAGAAUUAAAGAAGAAAAAGGAAAUAUCAAGGGAGAAGGAUUUCUUUUCCUAUCUGAAGUCUUUAU
rnacentral:lncRNA from 1 species